UACGGAGGGUGCAAGCGUUAAUCGGAAUUACUGGGCGUAAAGCGCACGCAGGCGGUCUGUCAAGUCGGAUGUGAAAUCCCCGGGCUCAACCUGGGAACUGCAUUCGAAACUGGCAGGCUAGAGUCUUGUAGAGGGGGGUAGAAUUCCAGGUGUAGCGGUGAAAUGCGUAGAGAUCUGGAGGAAUACCGGUGGCGAAGGCGGCCCCCUGGACAAAGACUGACGCUCAGGUGCGAAAGCGUGGGGAGCAAACAGG
rnacentral:rRNA from 5 species